UACGGAGGAUGCGAGCGUUAUCCGGAUUUAUUGGGUUUAAAGGGUGCGUAGGCGGACGCUUAAGUCAGCGGUAAAAUUGCGGGGCUCACCCUCGUCGAGCCGUUGAAACUGGGUGCCUUGAGUGGGCGAGAAGUACGCGGAAUGCGUGGUGUAGCGGUGAAAUGCAUAGAUAUCACGCAGAACUCCGAUUGCGAAGGCAGCGUACCGGCGCCCAACUGACGCUGAAGCACGAAGGCGUGGGUAUCGAACAGG
rnacentral:rRNA from 1 species